rnacentral:rRNA from 1 species
UAGCGCGGUGGUCCCACCUGACCCCAUGCCGAACUCAGAAGUGAAACACCGUAGCGCCGAUGGUAGUGUGGGGUCUCCCCAUGUGAGAGUAGGGA